rnacentral:lncRNA from 1 species
AAUUAUAUUUAAUCUUGAGUUAAAUAAUGUGAAACAAUUGUUAUUCUCUAAUAAAGUUUAAGCAAUUAGAGAAUAAUUGUUAAAUAUUUUUAUAUUUAAUACUCUCGCAUGUCCAGAUUUAAAAUUUUUUGCUAGGCCCUUGACGCAACCUGAAAUAAAUGGAAAAAAGUCAAUAAUGUGACAAGCUUGGCGUAACUUGAACUCAGCUCUUUGUUAUGGAUAAAUUGAUCUUG